UACGUAGGGUGCAAGCGUUAAUCGGAAUUACUGGGCGUAAAGCGUGCGCAGGCGGUUUCGUAAGUCUGUCGUGAAAUCCCCGGGCUUAACCUGGGAAUGGCGAUGGAGACUGCGAGGCUAGAGUUUGGCAGAGGGGGGUAGAAUUCCACGUGUAGCAGUGAAAUGCGUAGAUAUGUGGAGGAACACCGAUGGCGAAGGCAGCCCCCUGGGUCAACACUGACGCUCAUGCACGAAAGCGUGGGGAGCAAACAGG
rnacentral:rRNA from 1 species